AUGUUGAGCGAUUCUCUGAGUCGUAUGAUCAGUCGUCAGCGUAUGAGGAUGUGCCAGAUUUGUUGCAUUACACGCUCGUUUCCUGGAUGGCCCGAAACCGGGCGUUUGCAGAAGCCGAAGGAUUUUGACACAGCCUAUGACCUGGCUUUACUUCAUGAGGAUCUGGGAAAAGGAUUGAUACCGAUGAAUUCGAGUGGCAGCAGGAGAGCUACGCCACUUCCCUUACCUCUGCUGCCGAAAUCCAAGCCUACUAAAGUCACAAAGCUCCAGGAACAACCAAAGCAUGUUCAGACUGAAGGCAAGUGGUCAGCACUCCGUCAGUACCGACGAGCCAAGGGAUUAUGCUUCGUUUGUGGAGAGAGAUGGGUUCGGGGUCAUGUGUGCAAAACUUCAGUGCAGUUGCAUCAUGUUCAAGAGUUGAUCUAUUAUAUGCAGUCAGAACCAGUGCUAGAGUCUGAAAAUUCUGUCAGUGAAAGUAUAACAGCUUCAUUCCAUCAAAUGCAAAUAUCAGUGGCUGCUGUAGGGUAG
rnacentral:rRNA from 1 species